rnacentral:rRNA from 1 species
AGUCGAACGGAAGUCGUUACGAAAUGGAAUGAAGAUUUAUCUGAUUGAAGUUUUGUAACAAUGGCUUUAGUGGCGGACUGGUGAGUAACACGUAAGCAAUCUACCUAUUAGAGGGGAAUAACAAUGAGAAAUCAUUGCUAAUACCGCAUAAGCUUGUAGUACCGCAUGGUACAGCAAGAAAAGGAGCAAUCCGCUAAUAGAUGAGCUUGCGGCUGAUUAGCUAGUUGGUGUGGUAACGGCAUACCAAGGCAACGAUCAGUAGCCGGGCUGAGAGGCUCUUCGGCCACAUUGGGACUGAGAUACGGCCCAGACUCCUACGGGAGGCAGCAGUCGGGAAUUUUGCGCAAUGGAGGAAACUCUGACGCAGUGACGCCGCGUAUAGGAAGAAGGUUUUCGGAUUGUAAACUAUUUUAGUCAGGGAAGAAAAAUGACAGUACCUGAAGAAUAAGCUCCGGCUAACUACGUGCCAGCAGCCGCGGUAAUACGUAGGGAGCAAGCGUUAUCCGGAUUUAUUGGGUGUAAAGGGUGCGUAGACGGGAAGACAAGUUGGUUGUGAAAGCCCUCGGCUCA